UACAGAGGUCUCAAGCGUUGUUCGGAUUCAUUGGGCGUAAAGGGUGUGUAGGUGGCGCGCUAAGUCGGAUGUGAAAUCCCGGGGCUUAACCCCGGGCGUGCAGUGGAUACGGGCUGGCUGGAGGCAGGCAGGGGAGAAUGGAAUUCCCGGUGUAGCGGUGAAAUGCGCAGAUAUCGGGAGGAACACCGGUGGCGAAGGCGGUUCUCUGGGCCUGUGCUGACGCUGAGGAGCGAAAGCGUGGGGAGCGAACAGG
rnacentral:rRNA from 1 species